UACGUAGGGUGCGAGCGUUAAUCGGAAUUACUGGGCGUAAAGCGUGCGCAGGCGGCCGCGCAAGUCGAGUGUGAAAGCCCCGGGCUUAACUUGGGAAUUGCGCUCGAAACUACGUGGCUGGAGUGUGGCAGAGGAAGGUGGAAUUCCACGUGUAGCGGUGAAAUGCGUAGAGAUGUGGAGGAACACCAAUGGCGAAGGCAGCCUUCUGGGCCAACACUGACGCUCAUGCACGAAAGCGAGGGGAGCAAACAGG
rnacentral:rRNA from 1 species